UACGUAGGGACCAAGCGUUGUUCGGAUUUACUGGGCGUAAAGGGCGCGUAGGCGGCGUGACAAGUCACUUGUGAAAUCUCCGGGCUUAACUCGGAACGGCCAAGUGAAACUGUCAUGCUAGAGUGCAGAAGGGGCAAUCGGAAUUCUUGGUGUAGCGGUGAAAUGCGUAGAUAUCAAGAGGAACACCUGAGGUGAAGACGGGUUGCUGGGCUGACACUGACGCUGAUGCGCGAAAGCCAGGGGAGCAAACAGG
rnacentral:rRNA from 1 species